UACGUAGGGUGCAAGCGUUGUCCGGAAUUAUUGGGCGUAAAGAGCUCGUAGGCGGUCUGUUACGUCGGCUGUGAAAACCCGGGGCUCAACCCCGGGCCUGCAGUCGAUACGGGCAGACUAGAGUGCGGUAGGGGAGACUGGAAUUCCUGGUGUAGCGGUGAAAUGCGCAGAUAUCAGGAGGAACACCGGUGGCGAAGGCGGGUCUCUGGGCCGAUACUGACGCUGAGGAGCGAAAGCGUGGGGAGCGAACAGG
rnacentral:rRNA from 1 species